rnacentral:rRNA from 1 species
UUGGAGGGCAAGUCUGGUGCCAGCAGCCGCGGUAAUUCCAGCUCCAAUAGCGUAUAUUAAAGUUGUUGCAGUUAAAAAGCUCGUAGUUGAAUUUUAGGCCUGGCCGGGCGGUCCGUCUUUGGCGAGUACUGUUCUGUGUCGGGUCUUACCUUCUGGUAAACCGGCAUGUUCUUUUAUUGUGUGUGCCGUGGGAACCAGACCAUUACCUUGAAAAAAUUAGAGUGUUUAAAGCGGGCUUUUGCUUGAAUAGAUUAGCAUGGAAUAAUAAAAUAGGACGGCAUGGUUCUAUUUUGUUGGUUUCUAGGAUCACCGUAAUGAUUAAUAGGGAUAGUUGGGGGCAUUAGUAUUCAAUUGUCAGAGGUGAAAUUCUUGGAUUUAUUGAAGACUAACUUCUGCGAAAGCAUUUGCCAAGGAUGUUUUCAUUAAUCAAGAACGAAAGUUAGGGGAUCGAAGACGAUCAGAUACCGUCGUAGUCUUAACCAUAAACUAUGCCGACUAGGGAUCGGAUGAUGUUAAUUCUUUUUAAUGACUCAUUCGGCGCCUUACGGGAAAC